rnacentral:misc_RNA from 1 species
AAGUCGUAACAAGGUUUCCGUAGGUGAACCUGCGGAAGGAUCAUUAGCGAAGUCCGGAACGCCUGUUCGGUGCUGAUGCUGCCCAGCAAUGGGACGUGCUCGCCCGGCUUGCGUCCCUUCUCUAUUCCACCCCACUGUGAACCAAGCGUUGCGAGCAGAAGAGAGAUCGGAAGCUCGCACGCAAACCUUUAACAUACCCCUAAUGAAGUAUCAGAAUGUACCUUGCGUUAACUCGCACAAAUACAACUUUCAACAACGGAUCUCUUGGCUCUC